CAAUAGCGUAUAUUAAAGUUGUUGCAGUUAAAAAGCUCGUAGUUGGAUUUCGGGACGGGCCAGUUGGUCCGCCGCAAGGUGUGUUACUGACUGGUCUGUUCUUCUUCGCAAAGACUGCGUGUGCUCUUCGUUGAGUGUGCGUAGGAUUUACGACGUUUACUUUGAAAAAAUUAGAGUGUUCAAAGCAGGCUAUCGCUUGAAUACAUGAGCAUGGAAUAAUGGAAUAGGACUUUGGUCCUAUUUUGUUGGUUUCUAGGACCGAAGUAAUGAUUAAGAGGGACAAUUGGGGGCAUCCGUAUGUCGUUGUCAGAGGUGAAAUUCUUGGAUUUACGAAAGACGAACAACUGCGAAAGCACUUGCCAAGAGUGUUUUCAUUAA
rnacentral:rRNA from 1 species